GACGAACGCUGGCGGCGUGCCUAAUACAUGCAAGUAGAACGCACAGUUUAUACCGUAGCUUGCUACACCAUAAACUGUGAGUUGCGAACGGGUGAGUAACGCGUAGGUAACCUGCCUGGUAGCGGGGGAUAACUAUUGGAAACGAUAGCUAAUACCGCAUAAUAUUGAUUAUUGCAUGAUAAUUGAUUGAAAGAUGCUAUUGCAUCACUACCAGAUGGACCUGCGUUGUAUUAGCUAGUAGGUGAGGUAACGGCUCACCUAGGCGACGAUACAUAGCCGACCUGAGAGGGUGAUCGGCCACACUGGGACUGAGACACGGCCCAGACUCCUUCGGGAGGCAGCAGUAGGGAAUCUUCGGCAAUGGACGGAAGUCUGACCGAGCAACGCCGCGUGAGUGAAGAAGGUUUUCGGAUCGUAAAGCUCUGUUGUAAGAGAAGAACGGGUGUGAGAGUGGAAAGUUCACACUGUGACGGUAUCUUACCAGAAAGGGACGGCUAACUACGUG
rnacentral:rRNA from 1 species